rnacentral:rRNA from 1 species
GAUGAACGCUGGCGGCGCGCCUAACACAUGCAAGUCGAACGGCACCCCUCUCCGGAGGGAAGCGAGUGGCGAACGGCUGAGUAACACGUGGAGAACCUGCCCCCUCCCCCGGGAUAGCCGCCCGAAAGGACGGGUAAUACCGGAUACCCCCGGGCGCCGCAUGGCGCCCGGGCUAAAGCCCCGACGGGAGGGGAUGGCUCCGCGGCCCAUCAGGUAGACGGCGGGGUGACGGCCCACCGUGCCGACAACGGGUAGCCGGGUUGAGAGACCGACCGGCCAGAUUGGGACUGAGACACGGCCCAGACUCCUACGGGAGGCAGCAGUGGGGAAUCUUGCGCAAUGGGGGGAACCCUGACGCAGCGACGCCGCGUGCGGGACGGAGGCCUUCGGGUCGUAAACCGCUUUCAGCAGGGAAGAGUCAAGACUGUACCUGCAGAAGAAGCC